rnacentral:rRNA from 1 species
UGGGGAAUAUUGCACAAUGGGCGCAAGCCUGAUGCAGCAACGCCGCGUGAACGAUGAAGGUCUUCGGAUCGUAAAGUUCUGUUGCAGGGGAAGAUAAUGACGGUACCCUGUGAGGAAGCCCCGGCUAACUACGUGCCAGCAGCCGCGGUAAUACGUAGGGGGCUAGCGUUAUCCGGAUUUACUGGGCGUAAAGGGUGCGUAGGUGGUCUUUCAAGUCGGUGGUUAAAGGCUACGGCUCAACCGUAGUUAGCCUCCGAAACUGGAAGACUUGAGUGCAGGAGAGGAAAGUGGAAUUCCCGGUGUAGCGGUGAAAUGCGUAGAUAUUGGGAGGAACACCAGUAGCGAAGGCGGCUUUCUGGACUGCAACUGACACUGGGGCACGAAAGCGUGGGUAGCAAACAGG